rnacentral:rRNA from 1 species
UACGAAGGGUGCAAGCGUUACUCGGAAUUACUGGGCGUAAAGCGUGCGUAGGUGGUUUGUUAAGUCUGUUGUGAAAGCCCCGGGCUCAACCUGGGAAUGGCAAUGGAUACUGGCAGGCUAGAGUGCGGUAGAGGGUAGUGGAAUUCCCGGGUGUAGCGGUGAAUGCGUAGAGAAUCGGAGGAACAUCUGUGGCGGAAGGC